rfam:Rhodanobacter sp. SCN 67-45 ABS82_C0121, whole genome shotgun sequence.
GUUCGCUGCCGCAUAGGCAGCUCAGAAA